UCAUUUAUUUAGCUCAUUAGGACUUGCUCCAUUAUUGCGGCAUGGUAGAAAUAGGCUAUAUGUGCAUCCUAGCAUACAUUACAUAUCUUUGGGAUGAAUGUGAUUGUGGAAGCAAGUUUUUUGUUAUGACCAAGCAAAAAUAACAUCACAUAUCAAGGAUCGUGAUCUUCGAUCCAGAAAUUUUGCCAACCAGUUAGAAGCGGCUACCUUGGAACAAAUAGUUCUAAUUCCGUAUAAUACUGGUUUUCAUUGGAUGUUGCAUGUCAUCGAUCUUCGAGAGAACUGUGUUUAUGUUUUGGACUCUCUUCAAAGUAAAGUUAACGAAGACAUCCAUGGAGUCAUAAAUGUGACUUAUGAUUUACUUCUUAUUUGACUUCAUUGUCUUCUAAUUCUAAUGUUUCCAAAUGUAUAGAGGAUUAAAAACAUGGCAAGCUAAGCAUGAUUUACAACAUUAUCGGUCAAAUCCGAAAUGGAAACCUAUAAAGUUUAAUACAAAAAAGUGCAUAUACGCAAGAGGAGAUUGACGAGAUUUGAACAAAAUAUGCAAGCUUUGUUAGCCGAUUUGUGUAAGCUUUUACACUUUUUUUUGUAGUUUAUAAGUUACUAGUACUAAUACUAAUUGUUUUAAUAUAUAAGCUACGAGAUUCUAGUACUACUUGUUGUACAUACUUUAAUUUUCAGGUUUUCUGCUUGUAGUAGUUUAUGAAUAGGUGUUGUAUUGUAGUGUUUUAGGUGUUGACUUUAGAGUGUAUUUGUUGUAGUACUAUGUGGAAAGUGUGUAUUAGUGGAGGAAUUUGUUGUACACAUACUUUAAUACUUUACAUAUUAUUUACUUGAUUGAUAUGUGUA